GCACUUCUGAAGAGUCCUCUACUAGGACGAAACGGCCGUCCAGUGC
rnacentral:hammerhead_ribozyme from 1 species